CCUGACUGCUAUCGGAUUGAUACUAAGCCAUGCGAGUCAUUGUAGCAAUACAAGGCAUACGGCUCAGUAACGCGUAGUCAACCUAACCUAUGGACGGGAAUAACCUCGGGAAACUGAGAAUAAUGCCCGAUAGAACACUAUACCUGGAAUGGUUUGUGUUCCAAAUGAUUUAUCGCCAUAGGAUGGGACUGCGGCCUAUCAGUUUGUUGGUGAGGUAAUGGCCCUCCAAGACUAUUACAGGUACGGGCUCUGAGAGGAGUAGCCCGGAGAUGGGUACUGAGACACGGACCCAGGCCCUAUGGGGCGCAGCAGGCGAGAAAACUUUGCAAUGUGCGAAAGCACGACAAGGUCAAUCCGAGUGAUUUGUGCUAAACGAAUCUUUUGUUAGUCCUAGAAACACUAACGAAUAAGGGGUGGGCAAGUUCUGGUGUCAGCCGCCGCGGUAAAACCAGCACCUCAAGUGGUUAGGAUGAUUAUUGGGCCUAAAGCAUCCGUAGCCGGCUCUGUAAGUUUUCGGUUAAAUCUGUACGCUUAACGUACAGGCUGCCGGGAAUACUGCAAAGCUAGGGAGUGGGAGAGGUAGACGGUACUCGGUAGGAAGUGGUAAAAUGCUUUGAUCUAUCGAUGACCACCUGUGGCGAAGGCGGUCUACCAGAACACGUCCGACGGUGAGGGAUGAAAGCUGGGGGAGCAAACCGGAUUAGAUACCCGGGUAGUCCCAGCUGUAAACUAUGCAAACUCAGUGAUGCAUUGGCUUGUGGCCAAUGCAGUGCUGCAGGGAAGCCGUUAAGUUUGCCGCCUGGGAAGUACGUACGCAAGUAUGAAACCUAAAGGAAUUGGCGGGGGAGCACCACAAGGGGUGAAGCCUGCGGUUC
rnacentral:rRNA from 1 species